rnacentral:lncRNA from 1 species
GAUAGGUCAAUAUAUGUUGCAUCAAUUUAUUGUGAUGGACUAGUCUUACCAUGAAACAGUUAGGAUCAUGCUUAUGAGUACUAACAUGUUUUUAACACUGGCUUUUUAUGGCCUUAAGCAACCCUCCACCUUUUUCAUUCGGGCUUGGGACCGACAUUAGCGGUGUUAAAAACAUUGGUACUCAUAACAAGAAAUUAAGUAAAGAAAUUAAUUUUCUUUGAGAAAGAUAAAAAUUGAAACACUGAGCAAGAAUUUAAAAGUGACAAUUGUAGAUCCGAAAAAUAAGUAUACUUCUGUCUAAUUAGACAACAAAGAGUCCUUUGAAUCAUGGCACUACUCGCUUUUUUAAACCUAACAAUGAGAAACAUUUUUUGCCAACACAUAAAAACAUAAGAAAGUUUGUUUUCUCUAUGGCUGUGAUUUUGGUGGGGAAAGGGGGAAAUUAAGCAUAACCAUCUCUGAACAUAUCACUAACCUAUGACACAAUGACUUUCAAUGCAAAAAAUCCUAGAGAAAAUGAAGUUCUCGAUUGAGGCAUUCACAUCAACAUAAUAACUCUACUAUAUUGAACAUGUUUCAUCUUGUUUACAACUAAGCAAAAAAUUAUUUACGUCUAACACAUACUUAUAUAAGAUAAAUUUGUCCAUUUAAAUUUGUCCCUCCUAACCUUGCCUCCUGCCUAACGUUCAAAGUGAGAACAUUUUUAAUUAACCUAGUCUAUUGGUACUCCAUUUGUGGUAAGGAAACCCAACUAUAUAAAUAUUUAUCCUAUUUGUUUCAUGAAAGAUACUAUCUUUAUGUAACUUUUAUUCAAUUUUCAGAUCCUCCAUAUAUCAACUGGGUAGCUUGUCUUAAUAUCUUAAUGAGGGAACGCCUUGGAAGAUCAAGAGAUAGCUCCAUUAACAAGUGUACUAAAAUAAAAAAAAUCAGAAAUUAAGAAAAUAUGGGGAGACUGGAAGACUCUUUCAGAUAAUAAUUUAUAUAAAAGAAGACAAUUAAAUUGAUUACACUAUCAUGGACUUGAGUUAAAGAGACAUAUUGUAAUACAAAAAAAAUGUUCAAAUUUUGUCACACCAUCGAGGAAUUAAGUUAUAUCUUUUUUCUUGUUGUGAUCAAUUGCAACUUUUAUUUAGGCAUAUCCUAAGAGUUUUGCAAGAAUAUAUAGAAUUUUUGAAACUUGAAUCAUAUAAUGUAAACUAUCCGUCCGACCCAUUAUUUAUUUACUUUUGUCUAGAUUAGUUGACAUAAACUAAUUAGACUACAUCUUGUUUCUGUAGGAUUUCAUUCCAAUACAUACAUUUUUAGUUUAGCAACUUAAGAUCCAAUAUACAAAAGCCAAAAACUUAUAAUGAAUAAUAAAUAUAUGUUCAGGAAAGGGAUUAUAAUGAAUAAUAAAUGUAUGUUCAGGACAAGGAUUGAAAUUUCGUACCAUAUCGGAGUUUUGAGAUUCG